rnacentral:lncRNA from 1 species
AAAAAAAAGCGUGAAACACGUGUUGGAUUACAUACAAAUUGUUUGUUUGUGGGGGAAUUUCUCUAAAAGAAGGAAAGUAAAGCACAAAAGCAAAAAUAAAGCAGCUAUGUCAGCUGCAAGUUGCCAUAUAUACAGUUAAGUCAACUUUCUUAUGAAGCUUAACCGCGCGAUCCAUGAAUAGUUAUAAUAAAUAUGAUGCCAGGAACCGACCCCGCAUUCAUCUCUCAGUACGUCCGUGCAUGCAUGCAUGCCACUUGGCUCUAGAUGACUCCACUGAAUUAAGUUGACAUUAAAAUUUUCUUUUCAUGUAAGUUGUUGUACGUACGUGGAUAUGAUACCUAGCUACCAAAUAAGCCAACCUUUUCUCUCAAGUGACCCUACAAGUAAUAUAUAAAACUGACCCUUCGCUCAAUCUCGGGCCAGUGUAAUUUAGCAAUCUGAUUCCUCAUAUUUAGUAUUAGUAAAUAUGCCUUUUCUUCUUCUUUUUUUCCUGAAGUAUACAUGUAUGUGAUCAUAAUUUUGACGUUUAUCGAUCCCCUGUCCAACAUGAAGAAAAAGUGAUGAGCAAGCGUGUAUAUCAGAUCUAACCUAGCUGCCCAGGACUCCAAAUGGUGACGACGCGCUUCAAGAAACACAGAGAAUUCAUUGAAUAUAUAAUCCUACUAUUAUUAUAAGAGAAGUCUCUCAAAUGUCAAGUUAUAGAAUAUAUUAUACUGUUGUACCUUUUUAGUUAUUCCUUACGAUUACGAAGAUAUAUAUAGAAUUUUCUUUUAAUCAAAAUCCUUAACUGUCAUGCAUCAUGCAUGUUAUAUGAUAAUCUCUGAAAAAAGCAUCACCCUUUCUUCUUGAUGCCUCGAAUCGUACUUGCUGAAUCAGUAUAAGUUCUCCUAAAAAGCUAAGAUCUCAAGUUUGCAGCCCUGUCGACUACGCUUGAAUAAUGCUUUCCUUUCCUUUGUCAAUUAACCCUAAUUCUUCAAACUAUUAAUGCACGUCCCGACUCCCGCAUGCAUCAGUUAAUAAAAGAAAAUUUAUUGAAUAUGUUAAAAUCAUAUCUUGACAAUAAUUAGGAGGAUAAUUAGGGUUAGUUUGGUAAUAUUAUAGUUUUAAAAUAAUUAUUUUUAGUUGUACUAUAAAAAUAAUCAGUUGUGAAGAUAAACAGUUAAAUGUUUAAUACAAUUUAUUUUUAAAAGUAUUAUGAGUUUUAAAAGCAGUCGUAUGUGUUUAGUAAAUCUUAUUAUGUUGCUAUAAGAAUGAAUGAAUUAGAUAUAAUAUUAAAUAAAAUU